UAUUGUAAACAUUAUUGCAUUUAAUAUUGUAUACAAUAUUAUUGUAUACAUUAUUGCAUACAGUAUUGUAUUUUGUAUUGUACACAAUAUUUUAUACAGUAUUGGGAAGUGUGAUAUACGGUAUUGUAAACAUUAUUGCAUUUAAUAUUGUAUGCAGUAUUGCAUACAGUAUUGUAUUUUGUAUUGUGUACACAGUGAGACAUUGUUGAUGCAUCAAAAGAAACCAGGCAUAGAUCUAUCAGCUUUCAUUGUCAUGGUAGGCACAGGUCAAAAGUACGAAAAAAUUGUAAGUCUUUCAAUCUUGGGGGAGUAUCAAUUUCUAUUGCCUAAUAGAUUUUCCACCUCAUCCUUUUUCAUUAGGAUUGGUAAGAUCUUUUUGAGGAUAUCAACAAAUUGAAAGAGGGGGGUGGGGGCUACCUACAUUGAACAUGAAACUAGACACAAAGAUUGAUUCAAGUUGUUCAAACAAAUUUCGAAUUAUUAACUGUAACUGUGUCACUGAAGACAGAAAAUGGCAUACUUUCCCAGCACACUUUCCAAUCUUGUCAAUACUUCACGGUUCUAAAUGUGCGGAUUUGUGGGUUAGCUGCUAUAUGUUUACAAAUCAGGUGAUGAACUGGUGAUGACUCGGGACUCAAGUUGUCGUCACCCACACAUCACUUCUGUUGCUCUGUGGAUUUGUGAAAUAAGGUUAAGUACUGUAGAUGGUGUUUAGUUAAAAUGUACCGGUAAAAACGUCCUAAAUUUGCCUAGGUAAUAAAGUCCACCGAAAAAAAUCCCCUUUUCCUUUUCUAACAAAAAUUGUAUAGAAAAACAAUGCUUUUUUAGUUUGUAUUUUUUCAUUGUCACGCAUACAACAAACGUAAAAGUCUUAUGACAUAAUGACGUGUUGAAUGUUGAUAUAAAAAUCAUACAAAAUGACGACAGUUUACAUUAUCAGUUACAUAAUACAUCACAUGAUGACAUGAGAUAGUCUAGGCGUACUGACUUUCACUGCUACAGUCAUCGGUUCCUUAUGGAACCAUUCAGUGGUCUCCCAGACAGUGUUUGGUGUACAUAUGGCCAUCUAAGACCAGCUUCAACCCAUCCAUGCUGGUCUGAAUGACUUCCAUCAUGGAAUGCUGCUUAAAAGUUCAAACAUCAUUUAAAAAAUUUAAUCAGUCAUUAUAUGUGAUUUCUAUAUGUUUUGUUUUUUUAUCUUUGAUGUCAAAUAAAUAACUAAAUCAGUAAAAAGACUUUUUUACCGGUACUUUUUUACCACAGACCUUUUUACUACAGUCUUGGCAUGGCCUUGUUCUCUAAAGUGAUUGAGUGCUGCGAGAAAGGCAACUCACUACAGCUGUAGCGUAAGAUCUGUAUGUGGUGCUGGACCACCUUGGAAAAUACCAAGUUAUCAAACUGCAAAAUGGCUUUGUGCGAACACAACUCAGGAUUAUUAAAUGCUAAUCAAAAUAUAUGAUUUAUUUGCACUGUAGCUAGGAAUAAAUAGGCUUCUAUAAGAGUAAUUGUUUGAUAACAGCAGCUACAUAAUGAUUGUUGUCGGCUUUGUUCAUCAUUUGAGGGGCGGUGGGGUAGCCUAGUGGUUAAAGUGUUGGCUCGUCACGCCAGAGACCCGGGUUCGAUUCCCCACGUGGGCACAAUGUGUGAAGCCCAUUUCUGGUGUCCCCCGCCGUGAUAUUGCUGGAAUAUUUCUAAAAGCGGCAUAAAACUAAACUCAGUCAGUCAGUCAGUGUUCAUCAUUUGAAAUAAGAAAGGUUCUUGUUAUCGCACAUAUCACUGCCUCAGAUUGGGGAUGUUUCAUCCGGAAUUAUCAUUUGAUAAAUAUCAUAUCAUACUAUUCUGAGCACUUCAAAUGUUUGCCUAAGCUGAAGCAUUUAUUUAUGAUGUUUAUUUUUGUUACAUGUAUUUAUAUUUAAUUUAUUUGGAAGGACCAUUUCUUAUUUUUCUGGGCUUUUUUCACAGGUUUUAUGUGCUAAGAUGUGAAUAGCCAUACUUAAUAUAGCAGCCAGGUUUUCGGGAUGUUUUUAGUAAAAUAACCAGAAAAGACUUCGGUGCCAAUUGUGAUAAGUGCCAGCAAACUUUCUGUAGCAAGAACGGAAAAUAUGUUUCAAAUUUUUGGAGCAUUUACCUUUUCAGUUACUCUAACAAACAGACUUGAAACAAAAAUAAUAAUAAAAAUCUCAAGUAUCCACAAUACUUUGGCAAGGAUAGAUUUCGUCAGUUUCAGAAAAAUUAAGAGAUUCUCAUGCUCCUUACUAUGUUAUUUUAAGAGACAAUUUAACAAAAAUGAAAACUCUUUAGAUGUUUUCUUUGACUUAAUGUAAGUCAAAACAUUACGUUCAAAACAUUAAAGAAAUGGCAUCAGUUAUUGUCUGCUAAGUUGUGUAACAAAUAGUGUUUGCUGGUAUCAUAAUUCAUUUGUGUAAUAUAUAGAUUUUUUCCGCGGUCAGUUCUGAAUAACAAAUGACAUAUGAAACUAAUGCCUUCAAUCAGCAUUUAAAAUUCCUGCCUGCCCGACCAUCCGAAACAUGUCUAUUUUCAUCUCGGACGGUCAAAUUUCAAAAGUAGCCUGUCCUGUGGUCUGGUAGAUAUUUUUACCCCUAACACUAAAUAUUUCCUAAUAUCAGACAGGUUCUCUUGUCGUCAGUUUGAGGUUGUUUAAGGUAUUAUGAUAAUUAUGUUAAACUACUUACGAUUGGACAGUUCAUGUUACCGGUACGAUAACCAAUCACAACACGUGUACUUUCAGUUCACUUUUGAAAACCGGACAGGCAAGUUUGUAUCCAGACUGGUAUUUUUUAAAAGUUACCAGUCCGGCUGUCUUGGAAUUUUGGGAGUUUUAAACGCUGGUUCAAUCCUGCAUAUAAUCUAGAAAUUAUGAAGAUUGAAUGUUGAUGAAUCAUUAUUUGUACAUUUAUGAAAAAUGCCAUUUAUAGUUGCCAUGGUUACAUGUGCUUUAGUAUGUAAUAAUCAUUCCAGUCAAUAUCAGACAUACAGAUUUCUACAAGAAUUUAAUCCUCAGUAAGGACCAAUGAUAAGCAUGCUUUUUUCAGAGACCACUUUCGAAUGACAACCUCCGAAUACUACGGGGAUAUUAUUUUUUAAAUUUUUGGGGAAAAGUUAAAUUGGAAAUUUUCCAAAUGUGCUGUAUUUUUAAUACAGUUAUUGUGGUGACAGUGCGAGAUUGUAGAUGAAAGUUUCAACCCGAUGGAUUCAGUUUUUAUGUAAACACUGCAUGCUAUCAUGUAAAUGAAUGUUGCAGCUUUAAGAUUGUUUUUAAAUGUUUUAGAAUUUCCCAAACCAUUGUUUAUGAUAUUAUAGUGAAUAAUCAUCUGAUAUUUUGUUAAUCCUAACUGAAGAUGAUUAAUAAUCAAUUACAGGAUCCUGUAAGAUGUAUAUUGAUUUUUAGCUAUCCAAGAUUGAUACAACCUGGAAUCUAUGAUAAUGAUAUGACGUGUUGAAUUUUCUUAGAAAUGUUUUUUGAAUCGAGUUCAAGCAAACGUAGUACUAAUGUGAAGUCAUCUGAAUGCAUUUCCGGAAAAAUGUUACAUCCUUUCUUACUUACCUUUGCACAAUUCCUGUUGAUUGUCACUUCUGUGUUGCAAGGUGCUUGCAUAUGUUGCUUUCAUGCUCUCUGGUUAGCAUCCUUCUGGACAUCGGACAUUUCCUCAUGCCUUAUCUCUCUGUGCAGAGUUGCGGCCCUUAGUAGUUAAAGAAUCUGCUGAUGUUCAGUUUCUAUCACAGAUACGCCCAACUGUCAUCUGUCUGAAUAAUUCCAUAUCUGUCAGUACUUCGGAUUUGGAUUCAAGUGAAGAUUUCUGAUAUAUCCAGCUCAAAAGAAGUUAAGGAACAUUCAAUUUUGUCAUAUCUGUAAUUCAUCUAUCAUUGCAAUAAAAGUUACUUAUGAACUAAGAUGAAUACCCACAUGUUCUUUAAAUUCUUUUGAAGAGUAUAUUAGUUCCAAAAACAUGAGGACCGCCUGUGUCUGUAUAUUAUGGCCAUGAUUGAAUAACAAAAGUCAUCAUAACAAAUUGGGUGUUCUGUAACUUUAUUUGUGUAGUAUAAACGAUGCUGUUAUAAUUGCUGUCGGCAUAUCAAUACAUUUUUGUGAUAUCCAUGGAUCAUUUAAGAUUGUGUGUAGUGUUCGGCAUUGUGUGUAGUGUUCGGCUAACUUUAAAGAAUGAGAAUAUGAACGAUGCUGUUAUAAUUGCUGUCGGCAUAUCAAUACAUUUUUGUGAUAUCCAUGGAUCAUUUAAGAUUGUGUGUAGUGUUCGGUUAACUUUAAAGAAUGAGAAAUCAAUUCUGAUAGAUGAUAAUUAUCAUUAAUUUUAUGAUAAUGAUUCUUUUUCUGAGAUAAACUUUUGUUUUAGCCUGUAAAACGCAUAGAUCUAUCAAUAUGAAAUAAUAUUGGUGUUCACAACUGCUAAUCUCUUACUUUAAGUAACAUGCAAGGAGAUCAUGUAAAUGUGGUUAGCUAAAUCUGGACAGUAUAACUUGGAAGACAAUUGCCUCUGAUAAGUUUUAGGCUUCUGAUCAAGAAUCUCAGCAUGCCAUAGUUGUAAUAAUGUUCAAAUAUGAGAGUUAUGAGGGUCAUUAUUGUGUCUCGAAAUCAGGCAGAAGGUACUUUAAUUAGUGGUGUGUCAUUCAAUGUGUCAUCUAAUUAUCUCCCCUGUUCUAUGUGCCUUAUCAAUGUUUCCAUCACAUGCAGUGGUUGCCUCCCUUUAUGCAGUUCAUGGUUAUCCUUAACAGCUGUUAAAAUAACGAAUUUUUAAUAGAAAUACUCAAGUAAUCGUUACACUAAUUAGCCAAGAGAAAUGUUUUUUAUUUUAUAACAUAUUAAGAGUGUUUAUUUGGAGAAUAGUUGAUGAAUAUUUGUCAGAGUAAUCAUGUCAAGCUUGAAAUGAUCCUCUUGAAGUGUGUGUAGAGAGAGACCAUAUAAUAGAUUAUAUCUAUUAUAUGGUCUCUGGUGUAGACAAACAUGGAUUCUUUGUAUCAAAUCCCUUUUUUCUGGCACCUAUUGUAGCUGUAGAAAGAAGCAAUGUGAUGUGCUUUCAAUAGGAGCUGUAUGUAUAUAUUAGAUCAUGAUGACUUAUAUUUAUCUCAUAUGCUGUAAAUAGUAUCACAGAACUUUUGUAGAAAGUGUAAUGACAUUAGCCCCUUUUUCCUCUCAGGCACUAAUUAUGUAUUCCUUUACUUAUUGAGAAACUAACCCCAAACUGCACAAAUUUCAGAUUUCAACAUCAAUUUAAGUUUGGGAUUCAGGGUAGCCUUGUGGAUAAACCAUCGUCUUGUCAUGCCAAAGGUCCAGGUUUGAUUCCCCUAAUGUGAAUACCAGUUGUAAUGUCAAAUGUCAUGACAUUGCGGAAAUGUUGGUUAAUGUAGUGUAAAACAAUACCCUCUCAUGCAGUCAGUCUUUGUGGUUACGUAGUCCAAAAUCUUGUGACAUUUUCGGUGCUUGCUUCAUCUUCAUUGAUCUUACACUUACUAAAAUACCAAAUAAAGAUAUUGAAAUGAAUUAUUCAUAUGAUUUUAUGCAUUUUAUUAUCCCUCCACCAUUAACACUUAAUGCAUUGAAGAGCCGUAUCAAAAAGAAAUUUGUAAACUGACUUUUAGACAUUAUUGACACAAGGAGCAUAUUGACAUACACAGUUGAUUGACUUUGUCAUAAGGAGUGGACUGACAGAAGAAAUUAUUUAUUAUAGAAUAUUUAUAUAGCGCACAUAUCCAGGCAACUAGUGCAUGCUCAAGGCGUUGGUAUUUGUUCCCUCGAUCAUUGGAUGUCUAUCUCAACAUCACAUCGUAUUAUCAAUCUCAACUCCCUGGGGAGUAUACAACACUUGCAGCCACUAGGCGCACCGAGUUAUUGUGGCUUCUCAUCCUAACGAGGUACCCAUUCACAGCUGGAUGUACUGGGACACAUAGUCACAGUACGUUGUCCAAGUUCGCUGCAGUUGCAGUACCCGCAACUAGGUAUUUGCACGUAUUCCUGUGGCCACCAUCUGGUCAUAUACCAACAGAUUUGUGGGUUCUUUUAAGUGCACAGGGUUGUGUACUGUGAAAUUGAUUGUCGUAAGGAGUGGAUUGACAGAUUUUGUUGAUUGUUUUAAGGUGUUGAUUGACAUGAGGAGGUGAUUCACUGAAGGUGCUGAUUGUCGUGAGAAGUGUAUUGACACAAGGAGUUGAUUGUUGUACGGAAUGGAUUGACAGGAGUUGAUUGUUGUAAGGAGCUGAUUGACAGUUCAUUGUAAGGUGUGGAUUGACAGAAGGAGUUCAUUGUCGUAAGGAGCGGAUUGACAGUUCAUUGUAAGGAAUGGAUUGACAGAAGGAGUUCAUUGUGGUAAGGAGUGGAUUGACAGUUCAUUGUAAGGUGUGGAUUGAAAGAAGGAGUUGAUUGUUGUAAGGCAUUAAUUGACAGCAGUUGAAUGAUAGAAGAAGCUGAUUGUCAGAAGGAGUUGAUUGACAGAAGGAGCUGAUUGUCAAAAGGAGCAGAUUGACAGAAGGAGUUGAUAGUCAGAAGGGGCAGAUUGACAGAAGGAGUUGAUUGUCAGGAGAGGAUUGACAGAAGGAGCUGAUUGUCAGAAGGAGUUGACUGGCAUGAGGAGUUGACUGGCAUGAGGAAGAAAGCAAGUCUUGUAGUAUUUGGUUAUCAAAUCCAAUAUCAUAUCAAUAAAACAGUCAACCUUUACAGAUCACAAAUUUUAUUUUUCUGUGCAUUUUUGUGAAAAUGUGUGUUAGGUAUAAUUUUAAUGUGAUAUAUUUGGGGUGACGUUUUUGGCUGAACUGAAUUCUGGAUUAUACUGUAAGUACAGGAGUAAUACAACAAUUUGUUAUGAUGAAAAUAUCAUUUGUGUUAAAUAGAAACUGUGAUUACUAUAGAAUAUAUAUAUCGAGGAAUAAUGCUUUUGGUUGCUCUCAUUUACAGUGACAUGGAUUUAUUAUGCUUGCUUUACAACAAAAUGGUGUAAUUUUAUAUAAAAAAGUGGAUUUUGUUCAUGAAUAAAAUUCAAUUAAUUCCUUU